GGGGGUGCUCCGGUUUCGACAGAGGAACGGAAAGCGCUGCUGCGUGCCGAGGAGCCGUUGGCCUCGUAAACAAACGGCAAAGCCAUUAACUGGCGAAAAUAACUACGCUCUCGCUGCUUAAGUGAGACAGUGACCACGUAGCCCCGCCUUUGGCGACGUGUGAACUGAGACAAAAGAAGGCUAGCUUAGGUGAGGUUCCAUAGCCAAAAGUGAAACCAAAUGGAAAUAAGGCGGACGGCAGCCUGUUUGCUGGCAGCCCAGGCCCGACAAUUUAAGAGCAGACUACGCACGUAGAUGCACGCUGGAUGGACCUUUGGACGGCGGUUCGACUCCGCCCACCUCCACCA
rfam:Deinococcus proteolyticus MRP, complete genome.